rnacentral:sRNA from 1 species
CACAAAUACAUUCCCCUCAUGCGCGUUUUUCCCCUUUGUGGUGGUGGACCGUGCUAGGCCGUCCGGAGUCCUCACGUCAUUUGGCUUUACGGGGGCCCAUGAGCCCCAGAAUGCACAGAGCGGGGUAAAAAGGAGUCACCCUCCGGCGGUAUCUGUCGGUCGUGUUCUUGAGAUCGAGAGGGAAAUUGCAAUAGUCCCCGCCGAGAGAAGCGGUUAUUCGCCUAAGCGGAAGCGGUCUUUGAACUUCCAAGGGAUGUCUGGGCCGCGCAGCAGAUUCAGCAUACAAACCGGCAUGCCAGGCGGAGAUAGUGCAGCGGAAGCGGGUUUUGUCUCUCCGGGGACAUCUGUGACAAAGCGACUGGAAGGAAGAUGUUGCAGUUUUGGCAAGCGGAUCAAAGCUGUUGUUGGCAGUGAGAAAGCGCAAGGGGAUCUCUGGAUGUCCUGCCGAUCCCUGAC